rnacentral:rRNA from 1 species
UACGGAGGGUGCAAGCGUUAUCCGGAUUCACUGGGUUUAAAGGGUGCGUAGGCGGGUUGGUAAGUCCGUGGUGAAAUCUCCGAGCUUAACUCGGAAACUGCCGUGGAUACUAUAGACCUUGAAUGCUGUGGAGGUGAGCGGAAUAUGUCAUGUAGCGGUGAAAUGCUUAGAGAUGACAUAGAACACCAAUUGCGUAGGCAGCUUACUACACGAUCAUUGACGCUGAGGCACGAAAGCGUGGGGAGCAAACAGG